UGGUUGGACAAGAAAUAAGCUGUCUUAAAUAAAAAUAUUGAACUUAACUUUUAAGUGAAAAGGCUUAAAUUUUCUAAAGGGACGAUAAGACCCUAUAAAACUUUAUAUUUAAAAGUAAUUGCAAUUAUUAUUUAAAGAUUUUAUUUUUAAAUAUUUUAUUGGGGUGAUAAGGAUAAAAUAUAAGACAACUGUCUUUUAUUUUAACAAUAAUUUUUGAGUAAAUGAUCUUAGUAAAGGAAUAAAAGAUUAAGUUACUUUAGGGAUAACAGCGUAAUUUUCUUUGAGAGUUCUUAUCGACAAGAAAGUUUGCGACCUCGAUGUUGAAUUAAAAGUUCUUUAUAGAGUAGAGACUAUAUUAGAAGGUCUGUUCGACC
rnacentral:rRNA from 1 species